AUCAAAAUUUUAGCAUUAUUAUUAGCAUAUUAGUCCAUCUAACUUUCUUAUUUGAGAUUGUUAUUCAAAAUUAGGAAGUGGAACUCCAUUGGAAAAAAUUUGCCAUGCCUAUAUGCUUACUUCAUGUCAAAACAAGGAAAGAAGGACGAAGUCUUGGCCAAAAGAUUAGGACACCCUACCCCACAUCAAGAUACCUGGGUUGAGCUGUUGAUCUAUACCUGCUAAUGCAGACCCUAGCAAACAGCCAUAUUGGCUCUUGCCAUUUAUGUGAGAGACUGGAAUUUAACUUUGGUUUCUGUCUUCAACCCUCUGAAUAUUGCAGACAUCCAAAGAGUUCCAGUUCCACAUUGAAGUGAGGUGGAGCAGGAUGCUAAACAGGGUAUCAUGUUAUUUUAGUGACAUGGGAAUGGAACUGGGGAGGUUUGAGACUUGACCCUUGGCCCAAUUGUUUACUGACGGUAUGAGCUUUGGCUUUUCCACAUCUUGUCCUCCGGUGUGUUAUUCUUCCUGUUCUGCUUUUUAGAAUGAUUUAAGUAUCAAAUUUUGCAACACGAAGAAAACACCAGGAAGCAUGUUUGUUCAAUACUAAGCAUUCCAAUAAUCCUAAUGUAAUUUCUCUUGUUCACGAUUCAAAAAGUUUUAAGGUAUUAGAAUGACUUUUUUUUUUCAAGCUUUGAUCAAAGUAGAUUUUUUUUUCCUAGAAUUUGACAGAAAGAACUUCAACGCAACAUCUUAAUUCUAGUUUUCUAGGGAAUGAGGUGGUACAUCCAAGGUUGCAUAGAUCAUUGAUGAUAUGUUAUGGGUGUAAGAGGUUCCAUCUCUCACAGAAAACCUUUGGGAACAUUUGUACUUAGCACUCCCAAUUCCCUCCAUCAGGGCUUUCAGUCAGUUGGCAUGAAUAAACCAGAAUUGAUUUUGCA